rnacentral:lncRNA from 1 species
UAUGCAGAAGCUCACAGUUGUUUUUGUGAACUGAGCAGGCAAUGCGUGCAUCCUAGGAUCCCACAGCUGGCGAUCAUCGGCUACUCUGAGAGCAUAGCAAACCUGCACACAUUCGACAUGCGCUCCAAAUGGUUGGCGCAUUUCCUUGACGGGGUAUUUCAGUUGCCUAGCAUAAAGUCUAUGGAGAUGGAUAUAAAGGAAUGGGAUGAAUACAUGAAGAGGUACUCUCGCGAAUACUUCCGUCGAUCUUGCGUUGGAGCUCUCCACAUCUGGUACAAUGACCAGUUGUGCCAGGACAUGGGGUGUGAACCCAGGAGGAAGAAAG